GUUAUUCAAUAAUUUUGAAAGGCUAUCUUGGAGGAUCUGAUCGGUAUGAUUACUGCAGGCAUAAGAAAAUGUAAGGAGGUGGACAUUUCUGGCAGCCUUCUGAACCUUUACUCACCUACAGAGCCAGAAUAUGGUUGUGUAUUUGAGGGUGGUAUAGAGAGUUCGUUUCAGCAUUUUGGUUACACUGGUGUAAUGUCUGCCCAAGAAAAGUCAGCUUCUAUUGUCUGUAAUGUAUGAUUGCACUGCGGGUACAUAGCUGACAUUCCCUGCCUCCUCUUACUGUUGUUACUAAUUUCUUAAGCUAUGUCCAGCAAAAUUACAUGCUAUUAACAGCAAUAUAUGUAGCUCUUAUUUUCAAGUACCUUCUUUACAAUGCUUUUUCUUCACAGAAUCCUGUUGCAUUGACAUCACAUGAAUAACAGCUUUGUAGCAGCUCCUCAGACUUAUGUUGGAACUGACUUCUCCACAGAAAGCAUGUUGAGUUCACAUUCACUGGUUAACAGGAACUGAAUCAAGAGAAAUGGAUCAAGAUGGAAGUCCAGAAAUGAAUGUAGAUAUGAUGAUUUAUGCUGUCUUACAUUCUAACAGUUCAAAAAAAAACCAUAACAAAUGAAGAAGUGGAUUGGGUCAUAUCCAGUUACGAUAUUGGUAUACAUUAUAUUUGUGGAACAAUCAAACAAAAAAGAAUCAGUGAAAAAUCAAGAAAACAAAGGGCAUUGUCUCUUCCUGUACUAGAUCUGGUUUAUGCCUAGGAUUUGUCAGUGCUUACUGCACACUCCCAUUUCUGAACCUCGUAGGAUGGUAAACAGAUCCUUGCCCAGUGACAAUAUCCCUGUGAGAUUUGAUUUUCAGCUCAUUCUCUGAAAUCAGCUAGUUGAGGUUGUUUGUAGGUACAGGAUAACAUAUUUUCACAGCUCCUUUUUUUCUUUCAUAUAUUUUUUUAAGGUGAUUAUCUGUAGACACCAGAUGUAGAUCUGCCACCCAUAGCACCUGUCAUCUAGUUAAAGAUGCUAAUGUAAGAGCAUUUUACCUGACUCUGCUUCAUGCAUUUACCUUAACUUAUCUGUAAAUGCGGUGGGAAAUUAAGUUUUACAAGGUCAAAUAUAGUCCGGAUGGAGAGCAGGACAGACAGAGACGUGAUUCUUACUCCAGUGCUUGAGUUUUCAGCCAGAGGUUUCCCAGCCUGCUGCAUGAAGAGGUCUGGGUUAUAACGCAGUGCAGGGUCCUCAUUCUGUAACUUCCAGCUGUCUCAGACUCAAAUCUUUUGAAACCUAGCAGUGUGAAAGCAUAUAGGGUAGCUAAAAUAAAAUGAAAAUAGAAGAGCUCAGCCAUCUCCCUCCACAUCUUCCUCAGACUUCAAGAGAGAAGAAAAGUAAUUUUCACUCCACCCGAUGUCUGUCAGAAAUCAACAGGAUUAGCACAGAUAGCAAAGACUAGAAACAUUAAUUUUCUAGAAGCUCCUGGAAAGAACCAUAUCUGUAGCAGUACAGACAUUCAAGUAACAUACUGCACUUGCCAACUACUUUUUUGCUGUAGGUUACUGGGGGUGUCUUGAAUGUAAAUGAGAAGUAGGCAUGUGAUAGCAGCCGGGAAAGAAAGGAAGGGUAAGGUAAGCUCCCUGUUGAAGUGUGAUUCGCUUGAUCAGAACAUUUCUGAAGAGUCUGUAAUCCUUUGAUUGUCUGAUACGAAAAGUCAGAUAGUUUAGAAGAGAUUGUAUUAAAAGUUCAUUACCUCUUAAUAAAACUAUAUUUAUUUUUUGUCU